GCAGAAAAGGAGGGCCCUGCUCCUCCCUUGGGGCCAAGAAGUAGGCUGGGGAGGGGAAGCGACAAAAGAACACUGGAAAGAAAUGUGAGUGGCCCGCAAGCCAAGAUCUUUGCACAAACUCCUCCUGUCCUCGCUGGGGAGUUGUGGGCCCAGAGCAAAGGUAGAAGAGAGAGCUCCAAAUCUGCACGUUUUAUUUCAUUGGUACAUGUAUUUAAUCCAUCUGCAAACUGUUCAUUGGAUAGCAUCGUCGGCUUCUCUCUCUGGGAACACUAAGAUUGCUUUUUUUAAAGCACUGGAACAAAGUCAGUUGACUGGGAUUCCUCAACAAAUACGGUGACCCAGUCUGAACCAUUUGGAACUGGGAUGCCAGUGAGAGGAGAGCCUGCGUUGGGGAGCUUCAGGAGCAGAGCCACAGAAAGGAGAGUCUGUUGCUACUGUGACAGUAUCCCUGCUUUCUGAGGCCUUCCACUCUGUGUGUGUGUGUGUGUGUGUGUGUGUGUGUGUGUGUGUGUGUGUGUGUGUGCAGUGAUUCUGGUUUUCGCAGGUGUCUAAAGUCAUCACGGUAUGCACUGUGCAAGCAAACAAUUUCCCCUGUGAUGUCUGUAAUCUCCUGGAAAUGUUCUCUGAUUCCUUCCAAUGUCCCCCACAGCAGCCCCAAAGGCUGUCAACUCCAGUCAUCUCAGGCAUGUUAGUACUUUCUCGAGUCAUAUUGCAGUGUGUAGUAUUCUUCCCUCCAACAGCAGGUCUCCGAGGAAGACACUAAUGGCCCAGUGCUACACCAACCUGAUCAUUAGAGUCCCCGUUUCUCUAAGCGACAUCAGGCAGAUAACUUGCUCGGAAGAAUAUUUAUUUAUCUGUUCAAUGCUGCAAAUGGAGACAGAGCGAGCACACGGAUAGAAUUGCUGGGUGUGAAGUCUCCAUUGUUUAGUGUGAUGGAGAGCAAUGCAUCCUUUGUUCAUUUAAGUAAUAAGUAUUAAGCGUGGUUUUCAAACACUACAUGAUAUCUGCCUAGAUGCUCUUCGGCCCAGGCACUGACUGAGUCCACACAGCAUGUUCAAUGGUUUAAAUGCAAGCUCACUCUGUCUUAGCAGGAUGGGUCUUUUGGGAUGUUAGGUGGCAUUUUACUGGUGAAGCUCAAGUUCCUCAUUGAGAGUAUGGGCAGCAUCUGUGGGCCAGCUGUAUGUCUUUGAGUUUGACUAUUAAAGUGAUUUUAAGAUUUCUUCUUGGAAGGCAGGGAGGAAGGUAAUACCUUCUGGGUUCUGUACACUAAUACUUAUGGUCAAGUCCUGAGUUUCAAUUCACAGAGGUACUUCUCAGAGUCUUCUAAGACUUCCAAAGCAGCUGAUUUCAAAUUAUGCCUUAACUAAUGUAUGCAUCUAUGUCCUAAAGGAAAAGUAACUGAAAUCAUAUCACACAUAUACCGCAGAAGCGCACACUACACACAUCAUACAUAAAACAUGCACCACAAAAAUUCACACUACAGCACAAACAUCCACCACAACAAAUCUACCACAUACAUGAUAUCACAUACACCACAUGAAAUACAUUCACCACACAUUAUGCCCAGCACAUAAAACAUACACCAUACACCACACUCACCAUCAUUUAUCCCAAAUGUCACCUCUACAUACCACAGAAACAUACACCACUCCACACAAACAUACAUAUCACACCACACGCAUAAACCACACAUACAUACCACUCCAUACACACACACUACCCAUCACAUCCCCACACUUUAUACAUGCCAUAUUUGCUUGGGGGAAGAUAACAGGUUUAUUUUGAGAGUCUUCUAGAUUGUUCUGUGCCUUAGUUGCUUGCCAAUGUUGUUCCACAGAAUGCAUUUUGGAAACAGACUGGGACUCCAUGAGGAAUUCCUAAUUUUCUUGGCUCCAACCCCCAAUGCUGGGAUUACAGGUGUGUGAGAGACGGUCACAUUCAGAAGAGGCCCACAUAGAAUAGCACUUGAUAAUACAUGACUUGCAUUAAAGAUCACCUAGUCUCUGUCCACAGUUUUAGGCAAGUAAUUAUUGAACUAAUCAUGUCUAGGAUCCAGGGUAAGGACCUUGCACUAGGUAAGGUUGGUACGAAACAAUCGACUGGGCAAUCAUACAAUUAUAACACAUUAACAAAAGUAAGACAUACUGUUCUCCCAUCCCCAUCUUUGUGACUUUCUUUUGUUGUUGUUGUUGUUAUCAUUAUUUAUUCUUUAAAUACAAAGUCUCACUAUAGCCCAGGGUGUCCUUGAACUUACAAAGUAACUGAGGCUGGUCUUGAAUUCCUAAUUUCCUUGGCUCCAUCUCCCAAUGCUGGGAUUGCAGGUGUGUGCAAGCAGGCUUGACUUCUGUCACAGUCUUAACAUGAUGCGAGCAAUAGUGAAAGGUUCAAUGCCAUAAUUCAGGAAUUAAGGCUACUUCUGGUUUGGUGACUGCCAUCCUUACUGUGUGAUCUUCAAGGUUCAAGGAAAAGAAUGCACUGACUCCUCACUUCCUUGUCCCCAACGUCCCCCCACAACACAAAGGGACUUGGAAGUGUAACCUAGAGCAAAUGUCUGCCACCAAUUCUAUUGCUUAUACCAUCUGGAUAUUUCGAGCAGGAAUAUCCAGCUCCAGCCGGAGACUGUUUCCACUCUUCCUUCAAUCAGGUGGAAGACUUACGGAGGCUUUUUACGUAAGUAUUACCCAGUGCCACGACCCUGAGCUACUGAUAACUGUGUGCAUCGCAUGCCCAUGUUUUACAGGUGCCGGGAUUAAAAUGUGUACCACUAAGACUGGCUGGCUUGGUGACUUUUGACGGUAGUGUUUCUGUGACCAGGAAAAAGGCAACAUCGAAAAUAGAUUAUAAUAUUUUAGAGUACCAGUGAUAAAUUGACAAAUAAAAACUUCAUAAUAGUAUAGAAUAAACGAAUAAAUACUAGUGUUUACACAUAUUAGUAUUUACUGACGUUAAUUAUACCCAUUUGUUUACUUCCAGUGUUUGUGAUGUUAUCAUAUUAUUAGGCUGCUAAUAGUGUAAUUCACUGAAGCCCUACAAUAGCAUACCAGAGCGAUUUCCUUUCAUGACCCGUUAUUUAUAUACUCAAGCUUUCUUUCCACAUGCCUGUUCCUUUGCAAAAUAAUUUUGUGAUCUUGGCCUACACUGUCUAACAUGCUAAUAAUUUUCAGCCAUUCUGAAAUAUCUGUUUUCUUCGUGACGUCCUAUUUUUAGGUGAGAAACAACAGAACAACGAAGCCUCUUCAGAAAUUUCAUGAGGUAAAAUGUGAGCCACCUGGAUGGAGAAGAAGCUUCGCUGUCUAAGGACACCAAGAUCAUAGGUUUGUGGGCAUUUGCUCCAUUGUGCCCAAAAUAAAUUCAGUGUCUUCCUGGUCUCUA